UGAGCAAUCUGCCCUUCUCAUCGGAAUAAGCGUUGGAAACGACGUCUAAUGCCGAAUACGACCUCCUUUCGCAUGAUCGGAGGUGGAAAGCUCCGGCGGAGAAGGAUGAGCUCGCGGCCUAUCAGCUAGUUGGUGUGGGUAAUGGCCCACAAGGCGACGACGGGUAGCCGGCCUGAGAGGGUGACCCGGCCACACUGGGACUGAGACACGGCCCAGACUCCGUACGGGAGCAG
rnacentral:rRNA from 1 species